AUGGCCUCAAAGCACAAGGCCGGUCCAGGGGAACCAGGGCACCCACUGGCCCCCAAGACAGCCCCCUCAAGUCAGCCUGCAAAGACCCAUUUGGCUCCUCCCCUCCCCGUGGCCCUUCUAACCAUCGCCCUUUUGCCUGCCUUUAACAGUGUCUGUCUUUGUCUUAGUCAAACUUUCCAGGAGCAACUCAGCAAUUCUGUUUCCAAUAAUCACCUAACAGGUAAACAAGAUGGCAGGGAGGAAAGUCCACGUCUCGCCCCACAGUUCUCCAUAUCAGCAAAUUUUCAAAUUCUAGAACAAGGUCAGGGUCAGCAGGGGCAGGACAGGUUUGGAGGAAGGGCCAGGCCAAGCCCAGGAGACGAGACGGGGUCCGGGGAAGCCCACCUCCUUCCCGGGUCUCCCCUCCAGACCCGCAGCCUCAGGCCUUCUCAAGCCCCAGCCUUAAGGAGUUGUGCACUCCAGGAUGGGGGGGGGGUCUCUGAUCCUGGGUGCAUGUCUCUCUCUGCCUCAGUUUACACACCCAAAAUCUCUUGGAAGCUGCAGACUGGGCACCGUGGGAUGGGGAAGUGGAGACCGAGAGGCUCCUGCCAGGGAAAUAUGCAGUGCAGACAAGAGGUACGUCGGCCGCAGCUGCCCCGCUCCCUGCCCUCAUGUUCAAAACCCCUGUCUAGGUCCUGGUGUGUUGGAGCUGCACAUUCAGAGUGUGAGAGAGUGUUCAUCACAAGGCUACAGCUGGAACAGAAGCCCAGAGAGGGAGGCUUCCCACCCCAGGUCACACAGCACACCUGUGGUGGGGCUAGACACUGGCCAGGAGCCGAGGCCCAGAGCAAGGGGCUUCCUGCUCCCCCCCCCCCACCACCACCCUGUGGGACACUGCUGCUGAGGGCCCCAGGAGGAAAGGAAUACGAGGGCCCAUUUCCCUUGGUUAAAACUGAGGCUGAGGGGACUAUGCCUUGUCAAAGCCUACCCAGCCCGCCAGGGCUGAACCCACAGACAGCUCCCACCUCCGCAGCCUCAUGCAGGGUACAGCCCCAGGCUGGACGCAUCAUGUGA
rnacentral:lncRNA from 1 species